rnacentral:lncRNA from 1 species
ACUGUACAGGUGUCUAUUGUGGGGGUGUGGGGGCAUAUGGACUCCAACAAGGUAGAAACGCAUCACUCCACCUAUUUCCAUUAUAAGCUGGAAGAUGUAUUCUUAGGGAAAUGCCAAAACAGCAUAGGGUAAAGCUUUCCCACUGAGGAAAAAGGAUAUCAGCCUUAGUCUGAUAAAAAUUCAAGCAUAUGAAAACAAAAAAGGCAACUUUAUUUUUCUUUUGUGGCAUUCUAAACCACCAGAAUUUCUUUCAAGCCUGAAGAUUCCAUGACUCCACAUUAAUGACUCUUAAUAAUUUUGUACCCCUCCUCUCUCUUCUGCCCUCCAAAGUUGGUUAAUUCCA